rnacentral:lncRNA from 1 species
AGAGGGAGAUAGGAAUACUAGAUUCUGUCAUGACAGUCAUCAUGAGUCAGACAAAUAGGAUCAGAAUGCUACAAGACAUAGCGAGGACUUGGAUGGAGGGCGAGGAGGAGACCUGACAAGAGAUGCUCCACUUUUUCAAAGGAGAUGGACUGAUAGGCUGGGUGGAGGUGAGUUCUCUACCAUCCCUCUUUCGACUGACUUGGCCUCGACCCAAG